rnacentral:rRNA from 1 species
UGAGCCAAGUUUAGGGUUUUCUCAAAACCCAAGCAGUAUUGAACUGAAGAGUUUGAUCAUGGCUCAGAUUGAACGCUGGCGGCAGGCCUAACACAUGCAAGUCGAGCGGAUGAAGGGGGCUUGCUCCUGGAUUC